GACGAACGCUGGCGGCGUGCCUAACACAUGCAAGUCGAACGGAACUUUUUGAAAGAUUUCUUCGGAAUGAAUUUGACUAAGUUUAGUGGCGGACGGGUGAGUAACGCGUGAGUAACCUGCCUCCGAGAGGGGAAUAACAAUCUGAAAAGAUUGCUAAUACCGCAUAAUAUAGCGAAGUCGCAUGGCAUUGCUAUCAAAGAUUUAUCGCUCGGAGAUGGACUCGCGUCCGAUUAGCUAGUUGGUGGGGUAACGGCCUACCAAGGCGACGAUCGGUAGCCGGACUGAGAGGUUGAACGGCCACAUUGGGACUGAGACACGGCCCAGACUCCUACGGGAGGCAGCAGUGGGGGAUAUUGCGCAAUGGGGGCAACCCUGACGCAGCAACGCCGCGUGAAGGAUGAAGGUUUCGGAUUGUAAACUUCUUUAUUAAGGACGAAAAAAUGACGGUACUUAAUAGAAUAAGCUCCGGCUAACUACGUG
rnacentral:rRNA from 1 species